rnacentral:misc_RNA from 1 species
AACGCACAUUGCGCCCAUUAGUAUUCUAGUGGGCAUGCCUGUUCGAGCGUCAUUUCAACCCUUAAGCCUAGCUUAGUGUUGGGAGACUGCCUAAUACGCAGCUCCUCAAAACCAGUGGCGGAGUCGGUUCGUGCUCUGAGCGUAGUAAUUUUUUAUCUCGCUUCUGUAAGCCGGACUGGCAACAGCCAGAAACCGCACCCCUCGGGGGCACUUUUUAAUGGUUGACCUCGGAUCAGGUAGGAAUACCCGCUGAACUUAA